GUAGGUGAACCUGCGGAAGGAUCAUUAGUCUAUGCCGUCCUGGAAACAGGCCACGGCGUCGGGUCUCGCUUUGAAAAAAAGUGUAGGCUGUCUGAAAACCCUUGAAUAUAAAACUUUGUUGCUUUGGUAGGCCGCCUCUUUUGGCGUUGACCACGGCUGACAGUGCCUACCAGAGGCCAAAAACCCUACUGUCUUUGACGUCUGA
rnacentral:misc_RNA from 1 species